rnacentral:tRNA from 1 species
GGUUGUGGCUCAGUGGUACAGCGCUUGCCUUGCAUGUGUGGGGCCCUGGGUUCGAUUCUUAGCACCA